AUUUUGCAUAUUCCAACUAAUAUUUUUUGCCCUGGUUUGUGUCUGACCAUGCUGGGCACGGCUUUGUUAAAGUGUACGAUAUUCAAUGGGGUAAAAGUCCCCUAAUGGUAAUACAACUUUAUACCACAGGUGUACUCACACUGGAGCAGCGUCGACAUUUAUGAGAAAGCUUUACACAUGAGUACCAUGUGCGGUUCUUUACCGACAUUCCCAUCCCUGCACCUGCCUCCCCUGUCCCUAAUGCAAUGAACCCUCUACCCCCACAUUACCUAUGCAGAGCUCGUGGAGAGAAUGAAUGAGGAGGAGGGAGCGGAGGGGCAUGAGGCUCAGCCUUCAACGGUGCCACAAGACUUUUCGACGUCAUCAUUUCAAUCUACCCUGGCCCAGGUACGAUGCGGCACAACGUGGAUUUGCACAGCCUAUAAAUUAACUUGGCUAAUGUCAAAGAUGGGAGAUUCCUGGUAUUUACAGAUUUAGUUGUUGUUUGCAUUCGCCAACUAAUGGGCCCCAAAGUGUAGACAUGGCUGCUCCUCAUUUAUAGAUUUCCAGCCUUUGCAGCAGUGCGUUUUGGUGACUAUACUGUGCUGAUGAGUCCGAAUGAGGAUUACACCGGUCCACAGUUGCAUAUCACUGCAUCACUGCUGCUGUUAGUCUGUCACAUUUGCUCAACUUUAUUUUGAUGGUGGUUUAAGAUAGCAUUACCACAAUGCACUUUAGAAAAUACUGAUGUUUUUUGUAUAAUGCACAGGGACUAGAUGCUUUGUGUACAUAUUUCUCCAGGUCUCUGGUUUCCUCCCAUAGCUAAAUGACACAGUGUAACUGGUAUUGGCCAAACGUACCAAUGCUGAAAAAAUACAUGCAAAUUAUUCAAUUGGAAUUAAACUAAGCAACUUCGUUCUCGACUGCAAAAAAACAGAACUUGGUAGGACCCUCCUUGAAAAUAAAAAUGUAAACUCAUUGAGGUUUUCCUGGGUAAACUAGUACAUCAUCAUAGCAAUAAACAACUUGCAUACAAAUAGCAGAUUAACUUAUGUCCUGAUACAUGUAUCAUGAGCUUAUGAAUAAAUAUACAUUUCAUGCAUAAGCUAUUACAUCUCUCAUAUUCGUGUGUGUGCUUGCCUUUGCGUGUAGGACACUGUCUACUUUUGCGAUGGAGUCCGUCGGAUCGAUUUCAUCCUCGCGUUCGAUGAUGAGGUCCAUUCUCAGGACGCCAUCAACAAUCAGAAGAAGAGGACCGAAUAUCAGGCAAGCCUGAUGAAGAUGGGGCUAGAUCUCGAGAUUGAACCCAAGGAGGAGUCGGUGAGCGGACGCACCACCUUUG